rnacentral:sRNA from 1 species
UCCCUAAUACAUCCACCCCAAGUAGUAC